UCUCCGUAGGUGACCCUGCGGAGGGAUAAUUACUGAGUGAGGGCUCCGGCCCGACCUCCAACCCCAUGUGAACCGAAACCUGUUGCUUCGGGGGCGACCCGGCCUUCGGGCGUCGGGGCCCCCGGUGGACCACCCAACCCUGCAUCGUUGCGUCUGAGUCGAAAUAUAAAUCAAUCAAAACUUUCAACAACGGAUCUCUUGGUUCUGGCAUCGAUGAAGAACGCAGC
rnacentral:misc_RNA from 1 species